UAAGUCUUCUCCACCCAUUUGUGGAGAAAAUGCAGCAUGCUUCAACACUAAUGGCAGCUACUACUGUCAAUGUCAUGAAGGAUUCACACCUCCUUCACCUCAUAAUUUCACACAAGCAGAUUCGAUUAAAUGUGAAGACAUCGAUGAAUGUUUGGUCGGCAGUGAUGAUUGUGGUCCUAAUACAAUAUGUAAUAAUACUGUAGGAGGUUAUUACUGCACAUGUGCAACUGGCUACAUUUCCAGCAAUGGAAAAGAUAUAUUCAAUUCAGGACAAGGAGUUCAGUGUAUAGACAGAGAUGAAUGCAGUGAUCCCAGUUUUUGUGGAAAACAUGCAUCAUGUCAUAACACUGCUGGAGGUUUCUACUGCAUCUGUGAAGCUGGAUUCAGACUAAAGUCAGGAGGAACUAUCUUCAAUGAUACAAGUGAACUCU